ACUUGUCUCUUCAAGUCACCAAUAUCGAAUACUACCCCUAUUUAUAUCUGCACACCAUAGGCUUACACUCUCUUAUCACAAAGCUUGGCACUUUCUAUAUGGGGAAAGAGAGAAACAAAGGAACAGUCUUCCUUGUUAUGUUCUUAGCUCUAAUGGUGGAUGACAUCUUUCACACGAUUCACCCAAGUACAAUCUCAUCAAGAUCCCCUGAAGUAUACCAUGGAAAAUCUUUGGAGGAAUAUCCAGAAGACUCUCUGUUUCUCUCCAAAGGUUCGAGAAGAGGACAGAAAACGAAGGCAUGAGAGUAUAAAUUUCGCAACUUUUCCCGAUCAUCACCCUCCAAGCGUUUUGUGUAAUAAAUAUACAAGAACUGAAAAGAAAACAUAAACAAGUUGCAACAUCCAGAAACUUUUAGUAUUA